rnacentral:rRNA from 1 species
ACGCUGGCGGCGCGCCUAACACAUGCAAGUCGAACGGUCUUACAGAUGAGCUUGCUCUUUUGUAAGAUAGUGGCGGACUGGUGAGUAACACGUGAGCAACCUGCCUACGGGAGAGGGAUAGCGUCUGGAAACGGACGGUAAUACCACAUGAAGUCAUAGAAAGGCAUCUUGAUAUGAUUAAAGGAGGAAACUCCGCCGGUAGAUGGGCUCGCGACUGAUUAGGUAGUUGGAGUGGUAAUGGCACACCAAGCCUACGAUCAGUAGCCGGACUGAGAGGUUGAACGGCCACAUUGGGACUGAGAUACGGCCCAGACUCCUACGGGAGGCAGCAGUGGGGGAUAUUGCACAAUGGAGGAAACUCUGAUGCAGCAACGCCGCGUGAGGGAUGACGGCCUUCGGGUUGUAAACCUCUUUCAGUAGGGACGAAGCGCAAGUGACGGUACCUACAGAAGAAGCACCGGCCAACUACGUG